AGGACGAACGCUGGCGGCGUGCUUAACACAUGCAAGUCGAACGAGGUCCAACCAGUCGCAAGACUGGGGAAGACCUAGUGGCGAACGGGUGAGUAACACGUGAGGAACGUGCCCCGGAGACCGGGAUAACAGCGGGAAACCGCUGCUAAUACCGGAUACCUUCCUUUGAUCGCAUGAUCAGUUGAAGAAAUGGAUUCCGCUCCGGGAGCGCCUCGCGGUCUAUCAGCUUGUUGGUGGGUAACGGCCUACCAAGGCGACGACGGAUAGCUGGUCUGAGAGGACGAUCAGCCACACUGGGACUGAGACACGGCCCAGACUCCUACGGGAGGCAGCAGUGGGGAAUCUUGCCCAAUGGGCGAAAGCCUGAGGCAGCAACGCCGCGUGUGGGAUGAAGGCCCUUGGGUGUAAACCAUUUCAGCAGGACGAAAUGACGUACUGCAGAAGAAGCCCGGCAACUACGUGCCAGCAGCCGAC
rnacentral:rRNA from 1 species